GGCUCGAUGGUGUCGAUCAACAC
rnacentral:siRNA from 1 species